GGCAAAACUUGAAAGGUGAACUAAAAAAAAUUCCAACAUUUCACAUGGAAGGAAUAAAAGAGAUGAAAAUUCACAAGAUUGGGAACCUAGGUUAACAAAAUAUUAUAGCAAGAUUUUACCUUUCAAAAAAUAUUACAAUGAGAUUAGCGUAUUCUGUGCACCACUGUCAUCGGACAAAUGCGUUCGAUUCCAAAGUAGAUAGGGAUGAUUCUCAGCUGCCUCUAGUACUAACUAAAAUGGGGAUGCAACGGAAAAAGCACCAGAAAGCUUCCUUCUGUUACCAUCCUUGGUUAUGUGAUGCAUUCGUUACUCAACAUCAAUCACCUUGAAGGCAGUAAA
rnacentral:misc_RNA from 1 species